UGCCUGUCAACGUCUCUGUACA
rnacentral:miRNA from 2 species